UAGCUAGUUGGUGAGGUAAAGGCUUACCAAGGCGACGAUCUGUAGCGGGUCUGAGAGGAUGAUCCGCCACACUGGAACUGAGACACGGUCCAGACUCCUACGGGAGGCAGCAGUGGGGAAUUUUGGACAAUGGGGGCAACCCUGAUCCAGCCAUGCCGCGUGAGUGAAGAAGGCCUUCGGGUUGUAAAGCUCUUUCGGCCGGGAAGAAAUCGCAUGGGCCAAUACCCUGUGUGGAUGACGGUACCGGAAUAAGAAGCACCGGCUAACUACGUGCCAGCAGCCGCGGUAAUACGUAGGGUGCGAGCGUUAAUCGGAAUUACUGGGCGUAAAGCGUGCGCAGGCGGUUUUGUAAGACAGGCGUGAAAUCCCCGGGCUUAACCUGGGAACUGCGUUUGUGACUGCAAGGCUAGAGUACGGCAGAGGGGGGUGGAAUUCCACGUGUAGCAGUGGAAUGCGUAGAGAUGUGGAGGAACACCAAUGGCGAAGGCAGCCCCCUGGGUCGAUACUGACGCUCAUGCACGAAAGCGUGGGUAGCAAACAGGAUUAGAUACCCUGGUAGUCCACGCCCUAAACUAUGUCAACUAGGUGUUGGGUGGGUAAAACCAUUUAGUACCGUAGCUAACGCGUGAAGUUGACCGCCUGGGGAGUACGGCCGCAAGGUUAAAACUCAAAGGAAUUGACGGGGACCCGCACAAGCGGUGGAUGAUGUGGAUUAAUUCGAUGCAACGCGAAAAACCUUACCUACCCUUGACAUGCCAGGAACUUGCCAGAGAUGGCUUGGUGCCCGAAAGGGAGCCUGGACACAGGUGCUGCAUGGCUGUCGUCAGCUCGUGUCGUGAGAUGUUGGGUUAAGUCCCGCAACGAGCGCAACCCUUGUCGUUAAUUGCCAUCAUUUAGUUGGGCACUUUAACGAGACUGCCGGUGACAAACCGGAGGAAGGUGGGGAUGACGUCAAGUCCUCAUGGCCCUUAUGGGUAGGGCUUCACACGUCAUACAAUGGUCGGUACAAAGGGUUGCCAAGCCGCGAGGCGGAGCCAAUCCCAGAAAGCCGAUCGUAGUCCGGAUUGCAGGCUGCAACUCGCCUGCAUGAAGUCGGAAUCGCUAGUAAUCGUGGAUCAGCAUGUCACGGUGAAUACGUUCCCGGGUCUUGUACACACCGCCCGUCACACCAUGGGAGCGGGUUCCGCCAGAAGUAGGUAGCCUAACCGCAAGGGGGGCGCUUACCACGGCGGGGUUCGUGACUGGGGUGAAGUCGUAACAAGGUAGCCGUAGGGGAACCUGCGGCUG
rnacentral:rRNA from 1 species